rnacentral:rRNA from 1 species
GACGAACGCUGGCGGCGUGCUUAACACAUGCAAGUCGAACGGAAAGGCCCUGCUUUUGUGGGGUGCUCGAGUGGCGAACAGGUGAGUAACACGUGAGUAACCUGCCCUUGACUUUGGGAUAACUUCAGGAAACUGGGGCGAAUACAGGAUAGGAGCUCCUGCUGCAUGGUGGGGGUUGGAGAGUUUCGGAGGUUGGGGAUGUACGCGCGGCUCAUCGUCUUGUUGGUGGGGAAGUGACUUACUAACGCAUUGACGGGUAGCCAGCCUGGGAGGGUGACCGGCCACAUAGGGACUCGGGUACGAGCAAGACGGCAACUGGAGGCAGCGGUGGGGAAUAUUGCACAAUGGGCGGAAGGCGGAUGCAGCAACUUCGCGUGCGGGAUGACGGCCUUCGGGCUGGAAACCGCGUUCGCCUGGGACGAAGCGUGAGUGACGGUAAUGGGUAAAGAAGCACCGGCUAACUACGUG